CCAGAUUUGGCCAUUAGGAUUACCCUUACAAAAACACUGACUUUGGUUCUCAAUACAGUAAGUGCUUAAUAGUUGGGGUAGUUUUGCUGA
rnacentral:pre_miRNA from 1 species